AGAGUUUGAUCAUGGCUCAGAGCGAACGCUGGCGGCAGGCCUAACACAUGCAAGUCGAGCGCCCCGCAAGGGGAGCGGCAGACGGGAGAGUAACACGUGGGAACGUACCCUUCGGUUCGGAACAACCCAGGGAAACUUGGGCUAAUACCGGAUACGUCCGAAAGGAGAAAGAUUUAUCGCCGAGGGAUCGGCCCGCGUCUGAUUAGCUAGUUGGUGGGGUAACGGCCCACCAAGGCGACGAUCAGUAGCUGGUCUGAGAGGAUGAUCAGCCUCACUGGGACUGAGACACGGCCCAGACUCCUACGGGAGGCAGCAGUGGGGAAUAUUGGACAAUGGGCGCAAGCCUGAUCCAGCCAUGCCGCGUGGGUGAUGAAGGCCCUAGGGUUGUAAAGCCCUUUCGGCGGGGAAGAUAAUGACGGUACCCGCAGAAGAAGCCCCGGCUAACUUCGUGCCAGCAGCCGCGGUAAUACGAAGGGGGCUAGCGUUGCUCGGAAUCACUGGGCGUAAAGCGCACGUAGGCGGCUUGUUAAGUCAGGCGUGAAAGGCCUGGGCUCAACCCGGGAAUUGCGCUUGAGACUGGGCUGGCUUGAGUGCGGGAGAGGAUGGUGGAAUUCCCAGUGUAGAGGUGAAAUUCGUAGAUAUUGGGAAGAACACCGGUGGCGAAGGCGGCCAUCUGGACCGCAACUGACGCUGAGGCGCGAAAGCGUGGGGAGCAAACAGGAUUAGAUACCCUAGUAGUCC
rnacentral:rRNA from 1 species